GCCCUCCUAGGAACAGUAGGGCUUGUUUGCGGAAGUAAAUAGAAAACAGAAGCGCACCUUCAGUUAAGUUGAAAAAAGUUUUAUGAAAUUUUAGUGAGGAAAAAGUAGCUCAAUUUUAAUCCUACAAUGUAUUCAGUCCAAAGUAUGAGACGGUUUGUCUGUGAUCGGCUCACUGCGGCUGCUCAAGAAAUAUUGGGAGCCUUUGAAAAUAAAAUAGAAGGUUACGAGGCAGAAAUCGCUCGUCAACGCCGACUGUUGGAUGCCGUUUUGACACCCGAGAUAAAGUUACACCGGACAGAGCUUUCACUGACACCUGUCCAUAAGGUGGAGCAGGAGGAGGUUCAGCAUCAGCAAAGCUCCAGUUUGGUCCCACAAGAUCCUCCACCAAUUAAAGAAGAACACGAGGAAAUUUGCAUCAGUCGGGAACGACCACAGCUUGCACAACAACAGGAGACUGAGGCCUCUAAGUUGACUCCAACUUGUGAGGGAAGUGUCCACAGUGGCCAGUCUCAGCCUUUGGACCCUGACCAAACGGAGAGAACAUUGAAUAAAGAUUCUCAAUCCAGCACCUCAAGCAACAAUGUAUCAUCUGGAUCUGACAGGGAGAGCUCUCCAGCACCAGGCACUGACCACCAACUCCUCUCUCACAACUCUUGUGUGAGAGCUGAGAGCCAAGAUCACAUAACUUGCAACCAUGGAAGUGAAACACCAACUAGACUUAACAACAAAAGCAAUGAAGAGAACACAACAUUAGCUACAAAUACUGAGGAAGCAUCAAUUAAGAAACAUAACAAUGAGAUGCCAACAUCAAGUGGAAAAAGGGAGCCAGUGCUAAAUAAGAAACAUAAUCAUGAGAACACAACGUUAAUCACAAGUACUGAGACAACACCAGAAAAGAUUGCCAAUGGCAACGCAAAAUCCAAUGAAGGUUCUGAGCCAACAUCAAAUAAGAAACCAGAUAGUGGAAAAACAACAUCAGCUAAAAGUACUGAGCUAACACUCCAUAGUAAAGACAACAAUGAGAACACAACAUCAAGUGAGAAACCAACAUCAAAAGGAAAUAGUAAGCCGACACCAAAUAAGAAAAGCCAAGGUGGGAGACCACCCUCAACUGGAAGUGUUGAGCCAACACCCAAAAAGAAGACAACAUCACCUACAAAUGUUGCACAAACACCCCAUAAGAAAUGUAAUGAUAAGACCAGAGGGACUAGAGGCACAGAGCUAACAGCAAAUGAGAAAUGUAAGGAUGACGACCCAACAUCAAAGGGAAACAGUGAGCCAACACCAACUACGAAAAGCAAAGAUGGGAGAGCAACCUCACCUGGAAGUGUUGAGCCAACAUUAAGUAAGAAAAAUGACAAUGGGAAGACAACAUUAAGUAAAUAUACUGAACAAACACCACAUAGGAAAUGUAAUGAUACAAAUACAACAUUAACUAGAGGCACAGAGUUAACUCCAAAUGAACAACGUAAUGAUGAGGACAUGACCUUAAAUGAAGAUACUGUGCUAAUUCCAAAUGUGGACUAUAAUGAUGAUAACCCAACAUCAAAGGGAAACCGUGAACCAGCACCAAAUAAGAGAAGCAGAGAUGGGAGACCAACUUCACCUGGAAGGGUUGAGCCAUCGCCAAAUAAGAAAUCUAACAAUGAGAAGACGACGUCAGCUAAAAGAACUGAUCCAACAGCAAAUACGAAACCCAAUGAUGGGAAAGCAACAUCAACUUCAAGUACUAAACCAGUACCAAAUAAGAGAAGCAAAGAUGGGAAACCAACCUCACCUGGAAGUGUUGAGCCAUCACCAAGUAAGAAAUCUAACAAGACAACAUUAGUUAAAAGUACUGAUCCAAUGCCAAAUAAGAAAUGUAAUGACAAGACCACAGCGUCAACCAGAGGCACAGAAUUAACACCAAAUAAGAAACCUAACAAUGGAAAAACAAUGUCAACAAGAAGCAUGGAAUCCUCACCACGUAAGAGGCCGAACGAUGGGAGCACAGCAUCGGCUACAAGUGCUGAAACUACACCAAUUAAGAAACCUAACGAGGGUAGCACAACAUCAAAUGGAAGUACUCACCAAACAUCCAAAAAAAGACAAAAGAACGAGAAGACAACAUCAACCAGAAGCACAGAGCGAACACAAAGUGAGAAAAGUAACAUUGAGAGCACAGCAUCAAGUGCAGGUACUGUCCCGCCACCAAAUAUGAAACAUAGGAAGACAUCAGGCGGUACCGAGGAUGACCAAAACCCUUUCAAGUGUGACAGGUGCGGUAAAGUGACAACUAAUUUCAAAAACUACAAAUUCCAUAUGAAAUCCCACACUGUUGAAAAGAAAUACAAAUGCGAAACUUGUGGGUUAAUGUUUAGGGAGAGUUGGGAUUUGAAUAAACAUAUGAUAGUCCACUCUGUUGAGAAGCCUUUCAAAUGCAAGGUUUGCGGAAAUGGAUUUAACCGGCGUUAUAAUCUCGACCUGCAUCUUCGGGUUCACUCUGGGGAAAAGCCGUACAAAUGCAACACCUGUGACAAAAGCUUCAGUGCGUUAGUGAAUAUGAAGAAGCACAUGAGAAUUCACACAGGUGAGAAGCCGUACACCUGCAGCGACUGCGGGAAGGAGUUUGCAGAUUCGUCGUCUUUCAAAAAUCAUCAGCGGGUGCACACGGGGGAAAAGCCCUUCAAGUGUUCCUUUUGCAAGAGAAGAUUUGCUACCAGAACAACGUUGAGAAGGCACACCAGAACACACACAGGUGAAAAGCCAUACACGUGCGAUGUGUGUCACAAGGCGUUUAGUUAUAGAACAGACCUGAAAGGACACAUGAGGACACAUACUGGGGAGAAGCCUUACAAAUGCAAUACUUGUGAGGAACAGUUCUCCACUUGGACAAAACUCAACAAACACAAGAAUGUACACACAAGAGAUGCACAAAGCUCCACUGCUUAAAAACCUUUCUGCGUUCGAUAUACCAUGCUUAUGAUAAAAGUAAAUUAUUUGCACUUCAAGUAGUAGUGCACUAAGUAGAAUUGCGACUGCUCUUUAAUGUUAAAGAGUACUCGACCGAGUUACGAUUUUAUAUAUAUAUAUAUAAAAAUAAAUAUGAAAAUUGAUGUAGCAGAGCCCUAAAUACUGAUUUAUAAUACUGAAAUAUAUAUACAUGUUAUUCUCAAACGCUUACCCAUGCUGAGACUUUAUGCGUCUCCUUUUGGAGCCACAGAAGCCUUUUCCACGCCUCCCGCAUUCAGUAGGUGUUGCAGGUUCAUCCUGUCAUUCUUAUAACUAAACAGAGUAUUACUUUUUCCACAUGUGCAUUUGUAUUACCCAAUACCUGUAUACAGACUUUGUAAAGCCAGUUACCCUUUCAUUAUUUGCUGCAGGAACUGAGUUUAGUAUUUAAGCUUGGUUCUGACGGAUGAGAUACAAUCCAGAAAGGUUGUUGAAUAAUUGAUUUAUAAGAUUAAAGUCUUAACAGGUGCCAAAACACUGUUCAAUUAUUUUUUUUGACAAUCAUGACUUUUUAAAAAUGUUUUUUGUUGAUCUUGCAUGUAUUUGACUGGCCAAUAUGGUUCUUUGCAGGAUAACAUUGCAGUGUGUUAUAAGUGUUAUAAUCUUUUUAUAAGUGGUCUCAUUGAAAUGAAUGUGUGGCCUACACUUUUCCUAGAAGUGCUAACGUCCGUCUAAACACAGUCUUAUAUCUGGCGGUCUCAUAAUAGUGAAAAUGAAUAAGUCACUGCGGUAACUUUGGAAGGCUUCAAUUUAAACAAACGCAUGUUGUUGUUUAUGUUUUUUUGGGGUCUGGUAUAUAACAAAAGUUUGAAUGGUGGGAAUCUUGUUCAGUCUAAAUCUACUUUAUCAUUGUUUUAAGCAGAGUGAAAAAAGUGAAAAGUUCACAUAAUUGAUUGUACUGGGAAAAUGAGGAAAAGAAACAUUGUGUCUAAAUGCCUUGACUUUUAUGUAUUUAUGCCUUUAAUUUUUAAACUGCAGCCUACUUGUCUAAUCUACAGUCCACCACACUUGUUCUGGAAAAAGUGAAUGUAUUUUAAAUGUUUUACUUUUUCAUACAUUUAAUAAAUUGUAAUUAUUUUCUUUAAAUGGUGUGUUUGUAAAUUUGAUGCUUGUAAUUUACAUUUGAGGCUGCUGAUCUAUCAGACAUGAUCUGGGAGUCACACAUGUAGCUUUUUUUCUGAAGUUUCCUCUAUCGUGUACCACUUACCGACUUUAAGACUUGCUCUCUUUCAAUUUUGGUUAAGUUAUCUCUGAUGUAGCCUAACGAUAAAUGAGAAACAGCAGUGGCAGGAAAUGAAGCAUUUCUGUUCAGAUCUAAAUCACUAACUGAAAACCAUUUGUAUGAGUUGCAGCCAAAUAAGUCAAAUUGUAAUUUAUUGAAAAUGUCUGCAGUUGAGAGUUUGAGAACGUCAAUAAAUGAUCGACUAAAUGCUGCCGUGGAGGAAAUAUUGGGAGUUUGUGAGCAGACUAUAGUUGUGUACGAGGAGAAGAUUGACCGUCAACGCAGACUGCUGGAUAUCCUUUUGAAGCCUUGGAUAAAGCUACAGAGGACAGGUACACUUCAGAGCUCCCACAGCAACAUGCCUCUAAGGAGAAGGAGGAGGAAGUUCUCACUCACCAGCAUAUCUGUAAUCAGGAGAGGAACUCCAGUCUGCGCCAAGAGUCUCCACAGAUCAAAGAGGAACAGGAGGAGGUCUGCACCAAACAGGAGGGAAAGCAGCUUGGAGUGAAGCAGGAAGGAAAGCAGCUGGUAGGGAAGCAGGAGGGAGAUCAGAUUCUGAAGCAGGAGAGCACAGCAGAG